UCAAGUGUAUCUCAGUUGGUAGAGCAUGGCAUUAACACUGCCAGGGUUAGGGGUUCGAUUCCCACAGCUAAGAA